AAGAUGCUUAAGACCUGUUUUAAAGAAACAAAAGCAGGUUGUAAGUAGGAUUUUGUGUUUUCUGUGGUAAUGCAUGUGUAAACACAAAACAUUCAGCAUUGGUAACUAAAUUAUAUAAUUGGGUGCAUUGAGGCUUUGUAGUCAUGAGUUGGUGGGUGAAUUUCUUGAAGGGGAACU